ensembl:lncRNA
UUUUUUUUUUUUUUUUUUUUUUUUUUUGUUGCCCUGUGGCAGCAUAUGGAAUUUCCAGGCCAGGGAUCAGUUCCAAGCCUCAGCUGGACUGCAUGCCAGAUCCUUUAACCUAAUAAGCCAGGCCAGGGAUCCAACCUGCAUCCUGGCAUGGCAGAAACAUCACCAAUUCCACUGCACCACAGCAGGAACUUCAGAAAUUGGCACAACACUGUAGAUCGACUCUAAUUUAAAAAUGACCAAAAAUAAAUAAAGGCCUAGAAAAUUACAAUUUGUUUAUGUGCAUGUCUCUCUGACACCAAUAGAUGCCAGAAGGUCUCUUUCUCAGUCCCUCUAAGAAGGCACAGUGAUGAGCUAGCUGCUGCUCUGUACUUUGGUCUUUGCCUCGCACCCUCUUCCUGCUGGGUUUGGUAGCUCAAACACCCAAGGAGUCGAGUGGCCAGGGCACUGUUACCAGCCCUACCCAGCACCACUUCCCUGUGGCUCGAAGGUUCUCAGAGUUUCAAACAGAUUGUCUAAUGGUGGGUCCUUGCACGUCUUCAUCCCCAUGGCAACACCAAGGCCGGUCCUUACCAACUUCAGAAACAGCAUGCAGUUUAAGCAGAAAGGCGGAUUCAGAUUUCUAACCUGAAUCUCCGCUACCCCUUACAGGUAAAGCAUAUAUGCACGCUCCAAUAUUCUCACCUUCAGCCAAAGGUGUUCCUAUCGUCCAUACUAAAUGGGACAAGAAAAGGGGGAAAGACCCCUGGACCCCCAUCACUCCUUUUUGUGACCUUAUCUUAUUACCCUGAUGAAAUACAUAAAAAUCAAAGGAACUGAAAAGUAGGGACUCUGUGGUCAAUCAGACCCCCAAGGAUGUGACCUCUGUCUGAUGAAUCCCGAUGACCUUCAGUGUCCAGCAUGGUUUUGAAUGAUGCACCAAAACAUAGUUAUGCACCAAGAAGACACUGAAGAAAUGCUUCCUGGAUGCGAAGGCAUGUGAGACGUUUCAAUGCUACUUAAGCUCCAACAAAGAGUAAUAAGCUCUGUUUAAUGCUUGAAGUAUCAUUUUAUUGCAUUUUAUUUUCUUUUACUUUAUUUUAUUUAGGUCACGGCAUGUAGCAGCUUGACGUGGGAUCUCAGUUUCCAGAUCAGGGACUGAUCCUGGACCACAGUGGUGAAAGCUCCAAAUCCUAACCACUAGACCACCAGGGAACUCCCUUAAAGUACCAUUUUAAAAUUAAUUAAUCUAUCUAUUUUUCUAUCUAUUUUUUUUUAUGGCCACACCUGCAGCAUAAGGACGUUCCUGGGCAGGGGACUGAAUCCAAGCCGCGGCUGCAGCAACACCAGAUCCCUGAACCCACUGCAUGGGCUGGGGAUCGAACCUGAGCCACUGCAGCUGGAUUCUUAACCCAGUGUGUCACAGAACGAACUCUAUAACACACCAUUUUAAAUGAUUUAAAAGUCAUUCUGAAGAUCAUUGACAGAAAGUAUCUGCCACAUAGACACACACACACACACACACACACACACAGAAAGGAUCAUGUGCACUGGCUUUAUCACAAAGAUAAAGCCCCCAGUCCCUCCAGAAAUACUACUUAAAGAGAACAAAUGCAGCCAAGUCACACCAUCUCUCCAGCAGACAAACUAAACUCCCUGUUCUCAGUAACAAGCAUGAAACAAAGCAGGGGGGUGCUGGCAGCUGCUGCCCCCACACCCCCAAAGGAAUCCCAGAUGGGAGAUGGUUCUUGCCAUCACUCUCGCAACUCAUCCUUCAGGAAUGGUCACCUUGUCCUGUCACGUGGGAGGUGCCCUUCAAAAUACACACAAUAUGCCGCUGAGACACAUGACGGCUACUUCCUGUGCAGCGGAUGAAUUCAAGACCCUAGGGACAUUCUGUAUUUUACAGAUGAUUUGUAUAACUCAAAAGGGUACGUCUGCUUCUGUAUUUCCUUUCCAUUAACUGUCUUUAGAACCCGAAUCCCAGGCUCGGGGACCACCUACUCCAUCCCCUUUCUCAGUGUCAUCACUGUCCAGUUUUAGAGUUGCUUCCUCCUACCCCAAACCCCCACUCAUCCCUGCCUGUCUUCUAUUUCCCCCCUACUUUCUCUGUGUCCCCUGAAACUCUGAGCUGCAGUGAACAGAUUGCUCCACAUCCUCUGUUAGGCUGAAUUGUCCCCAGCCUCCUCUGAGUUACAGCUACUCCCAGGGGACCCUGCUACUGCAAUGGAGAUGGUGCUUCCAGACCCUCCAUCCCUACCGUCUGUGUUCUAAUUCCUUCAUCGGGCAGUCUCUCUCUUUCCCUCUCUCUCCACCACCUCCUUCAAAGCCACCAUGCUACGCCUGCCUGUCUGCCACCCAUUCUCAGUGUUCCCUGAACCCACCCAUUACUCACUGUUCUCCUAAGAAACCAGACUUCUGGUUUCUUCUCCUCCCGCCAUAUCUGUGUCACCUGGUCCCUCCUCCUAGAAAGCCCUUCCUAUCCCCUGGUGGAGAAUCACAUCUGAUUUCUCUCACAGUCCUCUUGCGAUUCUGCAGGAAGCAUGCCAUCUUCCAACGCUCCACUCACUCUUCAAGCACUUUCUUGGAGUUCCUGCUGUGGGGCCGUGGGUUAAGCAUCAGACUGCAGCAGCUCGGGUCACUGUGGAGCCACAGGUACAACCCCCAGCCCUGUGCAGUGGAUUAAAGGAUCCAGUGCAGCUCCAGCUGUGACGGAGGUUGCAGCUGUGGCUCGGAUUCAAUCCCUGGCCCAGGAAUGCCCACAUGCUGCAGAUACAGCCAGUCAAUUCAUUCAAUUAAAUUUUUUAAAAAAGCACUUUCUCAACUUCCCUGUUCGAGACCCUUCCAUGCUCUUCUACAAAGCACACGGUGUGCCUAUUUCAGCUUCUCUGGAAAACCGUCAGCUUCCUGGGAUCAGAGACCAAACCAGGCAGGGUCCUCUGAUGGGUCCUGGGUGGCGGGUCAAACCCUCCGUGUAGUCACGGACCCUUUCCUUUCUUCCCCUGGUUUGCACAAAACCAAAUACACACGCGCUCCUAUAAUGAGAGAAAAGACACGUGUGGUGGUGAACUCCAGCGCCAGAAAUGCUUCCGAUGAAGACAAAGGCCUGGUCCUCCGACGACAUGCUGCGUUCAGAAGUUCAUUCCCAUCUUCAUGCUCUCAGAGUGUCUGCUGCAGGUUCAACAAAUAGCAAGAACUCACUCCCCAGUCUAGAUUCCUACCGGAAAAGCAUGCAACCUGCUUCCUUUCUAUUGGACUCAAGAAUUGGCGGGGAGAUGCUUUGAGUUAAAAAAGCAAUAAGGAGACCCAGCCCCCUAGCAAUGGCUCUGCCUAUACACGUGUGUGGGGAGAGAUUUCCAAAGACUUAGCCAACGGGAAUCCGUUUUGUGUGUGUGUGUGUGUGUCUUUUUACAGAAGUUCCCAGGCCAGUGGUUGAAUAGGAGCUGCAGUUAUGGCCACAGCUACAGGGAACACCAGAUGCAAGCUGCAUCUGCGACCUAUGCUGCAACCUGCGGCACCGCCAGAUCUUUAACCAGCCAAGAUGUUUAAUCCAGGGAUCAAACCUGCAUCCUCACAGUCACUCUGUUGGGUUCUUAACCCGCUGAGCCACAGUGGGAACUCCACCAAGAGGAAUCUUAACUUGAACAAAACAAACGCUCCUCAUAAAACAUUCAGUACUUAAUAUCAUAUUUCAGUCAUUUUCUUCUUCUCUUCAUACAUACGAGCUUUAUUCGGACCCCAUCUAUUGACUUGCAUCUGCCUGGCUCAAUGUCAAAGCAACAAGGUCAACUGGCGGAGGGUAAGGUGACCGAGUACGUGUUUGUGGGGACAGAUCUGUCCAGUUUCUGUGCUUUCUCUGAGGCCUGAAGGCAAAGCAGACGACCACACGGGCUCCAGCGUGGAAACUGACGGCAGUGACUGACUUCUUAAUUCUGUAUUCCAGGCAACAUUGUGCAAAUGUUGGCACUGACCCACAUGAUCACAUUGCAUUUAAUAUUUAAGAAAUGCGAAAAACCUGAAGAUGUGCGGGCUCCCAUCGUGGUGCAGUGGUAACAAACCCGACUAGUAUCCAUGAGGAUGUGGGUUCAAUCCCUGGCCUCGCUCAGUGGGUUAAGGAUCCAGUGUUGCCCUGAGCUGCGGUGUAGGUUGCAAACGCAGCUUGGCAUCUGCGUUGCUGUCUGUGGUGUAGGCCCACAGCUAUAGCUGUAAUUCGACCCCUAGCUUGGGAACUUCCAUAAGUCAUGGGUGCAGCUCUAAAAAGACCAAAAAAAACCAAAAACAAAAACAAAAAAAAAACCAAAAACCUUUGAAGGUUCUAUAGAUUUAUUUUAAAGGAUUUAAAAAUGAGACCCAGAGUUCCUGCCAUGGCUCAGAGGUUAACAAACCUGACCAGCACCCAGGAGGACUUGGGUUCGAUCCCUGGCCUCGCUUGGUGGGUUAAGGAUCCGUCAUCACUGUGAGCUGUGGUGUAGGUCGAAGAUGCGGCUUGGAUCCAGCACUGCUGUGGCUGUGAUGUAUGCCAGCGACUAUAGCUCCGAUUAGACCCCUAGCCUGGGAAUCUCCGUAUGCCGAGGGUGUGACCCUAAAAAGAAAAAAAAAAUAAAAAUAAAAACAAUAAAUAAACUAAAAUAAAUAAAAUAAAAAUGAGACUCUCUGGGGAAUUAAAUUCCCAUCAGUCAAAUGAAAUGGUUUUCUCCAUCUCUGGCUGAAAAGUGAUUAAGAGAACAAGUUUAAAGGUUAUCUGAUUAUGUAUCACAUAUUAAUAUUUUAUUUACAAAUCCUUAUAGGCCACUUUUCAUUCCAAUUUGUGUUCCUACAUUGGUUAAGUCUUGAAACCUGAGUGAAAAGGCUCAAUUCCUGAAAAUGAGUUUCUUUUUUAACAUUUGAAUGAGUCCACAGAACAAUCUAAAGGACACGGUCAACAAAUGGGAAUUGAAAUUGAACCUCGAUGAAGGUUAGAAAGGACGGCUAUCUGGCUCACCUAUGCCACUGGAGCACCUGAUUCAAGGGACAGA